rnacentral:rRNA from 1 species
CCUACGGGAGGCAGCAGUGGGGAAUAUUGGACAAUGGGCGAAAGCCUGAUCCAGCCAUGCCGCGUGUGUGAAGAAGGCCUUCGGGUUGUAAAGCACUUUCAGUGGGGAAGAAAGCCUUGGGGCUAAUACCCUCGAGGAAGGACAUCACCCACAGAAGAAGCACCGGCUAACUCCGUGCCAGCAGCCGCGGUAAUAUGGAGGGUGCGAGCGUUAAUCGGAAUUACUGGGCGUAAAGCGCGCGUAGGCGGUCUGAUAAGCCGGUUGUGAAAGCCCCGGGCUCAACCUGGGAACGGCAUCCGGAACUGUCAGGCUAGAGUGCAGGAGAGGAAGGUAGAAUUCCCGGUGUAGCGGUGAAAUGCGUAGAGAUCGGGAGGAAUACCAGUGGCGAAGGCGGCCUUCUGGACUGACACUGACGCUGAGGUGCGAAAGCGUGGGUAGCAAACAGGAUUAGAUACCCUUGUAGUC